rnacentral:rRNA from 1 species
UACAGAGGGCCCGAGCGUUGUUCGGAUUCACUGGGCGUAAAGGGUGCGUAGGUGGCAUAGAAAGUUUGAUGUGAAAGCUCAGGGCUUAACCCUGAAAUGGCAUUGAAUACUGCUGUGCUGGAGGUUUGGAGGGGGGACUGGAAUUCUUGGUGUAGCAGUGAAAUGCGUAGAUAUCAAGAGGAACACCAGUGGCGAAGGCGAGUCCCUGGACAACACCUGACACUGAGGCACGAAAGCUAGGGGAGCAAACAGG